AACGAACGCUGGCGGCAUGCCUAACACAUGCAAGUCGAACGAGACCUUCGGGUCUAGUGGCGCACGGGUGCGUAACGCGUGGGAACCUUCCCUUAGGUUCGGAAUAACUCCCCGAAAGGGGUGCUAAUACCGGAUAAUGUCUUCGGACCAAAGAUUUAUCGCCUUUGGAUGGGCCCGCGUUGGAUUAGCUAGUUGGUAGGGUAAAAGCCUACCAAGGCGACGAUCCAUAGCUGGUCUGAGAGGAUGGUCAGCCACACUGGGACUGAGACACGGCCCAGACUCCUACGGGAGGCAGCAGUGGGGAAUAUUGGACAAUGGGCGAAAGCCUGAUCCAGCAAUGCCGCGUGAGUGAUGAAGGCCUUAGGGUUGUAAAGCUCUUUUACCCGGGAUGAUAAUGACAGUACCGGGAGAAUAAGCUCCGGCUAACUCCGUG
rnacentral:rRNA from 1 species